GGUGAAUAGUGGAUUUAAAGAAUAGAUGAGUAACGCACGCAUGAUGUUUAUAGAGCUAAGCAUUCGCAUUUUGAACUAAUAUAUUUGCCACUAGAGUCAUUUAGUAACAGUAGUUUGUGGAGUGAACAUAUAUGAAAAAGCAAGUUCCUACUUUAUUCUAUUCCUGCAUUUUAGUUAAAGAAGGCUCGUUUUCAAUGAUCUAUAUUUUUCAUGCUUACAGAAGAUCCAAGAAAAAUGAAGACUGAAGCUUGGGAGUUUGAUAUCUAUUUGCAAAAACCUCCUGCCCAGAGAGUUAUUCCUAAUCGGCUCCGCAGAAUGUUGAUCAUGAGACAGGGUGUUGUUGCACCAGGUCAAGACGAAGAGCAAGUACUGCCAAACUUUGAGAUGUUAUUUUAAUAAUGCUGAGUAAUCAAAUGGAUAUAUGUUGAGAAGUAAAACUGUAUAAAAUGGAGUUUAAUGCGUCAGUUACAUAGCAAUACCUUUAUAAUGUUGAUGAUUACUGACAGUAGUUUUUUUUAUAACGAUAAUUUAUUUAUUUUUAUCACAUGAUUGACGUCGCGAGAGUGUAAUAAAGUCAUUAUUUUAAAAUGAUAAUACGCUUUGACGACGACGUCAUUUAUAGUAUUGGAGACGUUGGUGAAAUUGAUUUGUUGAUACAGCAAAAGAAUGCAGAUAUUUUAUGUUCCUAUAGGAAAAGCUGACAUGUUAUAAAAAAAGAAUAUUACACUUGUGACUUUCCACACUGACUUUAUUAAACUCGUUGAAUAAAAUUGAUAAAAUGCUAGGCACAGCCUCGCGUUUUAUUAUUUUAUUCAAUAGGUUUUAAUAAAUUCAGUAUAAAAACUCAUGUAAUAUUCUCUAUGUAACGCUGGUGUCAGAAUGAUAUUUCCUCUUUACUUGUACUAUAUGCGGAGAAUUUUAAAAAUAACGUAGACUGUCAAAAACCGUUUAAUGUGUAUAUAGUGCGAUGUAAAAUUAUA